rnacentral:lncRNA from 1 species
GAACAGAGUAAAUAGGCAUUUUAAUGGUAACUUGUGUAAUAGACACCGGCUGGAAUGCAAUUUUAACCAAUCAGUAUUCAGGAUUAGACCCAACUGUUGUAUAAAUAACUUGAAUCCAUUGUAUUUUUAUUUAUUUUAUUUCACCUUUAUUUGACCAGGUAGGCUAGUUGAGAACAAGUUCUCAUUUAAAACUGUGACCUGGCCAAGAUAAAGCAAAGCAGUGCGACACAAACAACAACACAGUCAAUAACACAAUAGAGAAAAAGUCCAUAUACAGUGUGUGCAAAUGAGGUAAGAUAAGGAAGGCAAGGAAAUAAAUAAGCCAUAGUGGUGAAAUAAUUACAAUUGAGCAAUUAAACACUAGAGUGAUAGAUGUGCAGAAGAUGAAUGUGCAAGUACAGAUACUGGGCUGCAAAGGAGCAAAUAAAAAAUAAAUAAGAGUAUGGGGAUGAAGUAGUUGGAUGGGCUAUAUACAGAUGCAAUGAUCUGUGAGCUGCUCUGACAGCUGGUGCUUAAAGUUAGAGAGGGAGAUAUGAGUCUCCAGCUUCAGUGAUUUUUGCAGUUCGUUCCAGUCAUUGGCAGCAGAGAACUGGAAGGAAAGGCGGCCAAAGGAAGAAUUGGCUUUGGGGGUGACCAGUGAAAUAUACCUGCUGGAGUGCGUGCUAUGGGUGGGUGCUGCUAUGGUGACCAGUGAGCUGAGAUAAGGCGGGGCUUUACCUAGCAAAGACUUAUAGAUGACCUGGAGCCAGUGGGUUUGGCGAUGAAUAUGAAGUGAGGGCCAGCCAACGAGAGCAUAUAGGUCACAGUGGUGGGUAGUAUAUGGGGCUUUGGUGACAAAACGGAUGGCACUGUGAUAGACUGCAUCCAAUUUGCUGAGUAGAGUGUUCGGAGGCUAUUUUGUAAAUGACAUCGCCGAAGUGACCGCGGCAGCUUUCCAAUCUUUGGGGAUGUCAGACGAUACCAAAGACAGGUUAAACAGGCUAGUAAUAGGGGUUGCAACAAUUUCGGCAGAUCAUUUUAAAAAGAGAGGGUCCAGAUUGUCUAGCCUGGCUGAUUUGUAGGGGUCCAGAUUUUGCAGCUCUUUCAGAACAUCAGCAAUCUGGAUUUGGGUGAAGGAGAAAUGGGGGAGGCUUGGGCAAGAUGCUGUGGGGGGUGCAGGGCUGUUGACCGGGGUAGGGGUAACCAGGUGGAGAGCUUGGCCAGCCGUAGAGAAAUGCUAAUUAAAAUUCCCAAUUAUCGUGGAUUUAUCGGUGGUGACAGUGUUUCCUAGCCUCAGUGCAGUGGGCAGCUGGGAGGAGGUGCUCAUGUUCUCCAUGGACUUUACAGUGUCCCAGAACUUUUUGGAGUUUGUGCUACAGGAUGCAAAUUUCUGUUUGAAAAAGCUAGGCUUUGCUUUCCUACCUGCCUGUGUAUAUUGGUUCCUAACUUCCCUGAAAAGUUGCAUAUCGCGGGGGCUAUUCGAUGCUAAUGCAGUACACCACAGGAUGUUUUUGUGCUGGUCAAGGGCAGUCAGGUCUGGAGUGAACCAAGGGCUAUAUCUGUUCCUGGUUCUAAAUUUUUUGAAUGGGGCAUGCAUAUUUAAGAUGGUGAGGAUAGCACUUAAAAAAAAUAACCAGGCAUCUUCUACUGACGGAAUGAGGUCAAUAUCCUUCCAGGAUACCCGGGCCAGGUCGAUUAGAAAGUCCUGCUCGCUGAAGUGUUUUAGGGAGCGUUUGACAGUGAUGAGGGGUGGUCGUUUGACUGCAGACCUAUUAUGGACGCAGGCAAUGAGGCAGUGAUCGCCGAGAUCCUGGUUGAAGACAGCAGAGGUGUAUUUGGAGGGCAGGUUGAAUAGGAUGAUGUCUAUGAGGGUGCCCAUGUUGACGGAUGUGGGGUUGAACCUGGUAGGUUCAUUGAUCAUUUAUGUGAGAUUGAGGGCAUCAAGCUUCGAUUGUAGGAUGGCUGGGUUGUUAAGCAUGUCCCAGUUUA